AUUUAGGCAUGAUCUGACCUGUUUGCUGAUUACAAUCAACUCCGGUGAGAGCUCUGACCUUCACCUAGAUCUGGCAGCUGCUGGCAACCGGGAAGCAGGAUGUUUUGUAUCCAAACUGGUGCUCACUCUCUGUCAGCCUAAGGUUUGCUGUCAGAAAAAUAUGGAUGGAAACUCCCCUAAGCCUACGAAGAUCUCUUUAAUGAAUCAUCUGCUACAUCCUAGCAAGAUUUAAUUAGUUUAUCAUACGUCCAGAAGGACUCUAGGAUUUCUGAACAAGAGGAAUAAGUUCUAUGCCUUCUGCUUUGUAACAACUGUGAAGAUCUUCAGCAGCCAUGGAUUUUCUGUCCUUUUUGAUCCAGUUCAUUACAUCUGACAAUGCACUUCAAGUCUAUGCUGUCAACUGUGAAGAAAAGGAAGGAUAGCAAGUGAAUGCAAAAGCAAAUCACAUCUGACUGCAUACCUAGGAAAAUGUAAAUGACCUUCUUUUCCUCCUGUUAUUCCGGGACUUGGAAAUCAAAAGUAAAAAACAUCUGUGUGGCAACGUAAGGCUAUGCAAGCAAGCAGAAAUCUUGUUCCUCUGCUCAAACGCUUUUACAAAAUACAAGCAAAGACUGAUUAAUAGGAGCAAUCCAUCCUGAUGUCAAGAAAUUGAGCACAGCGUCUCAAAAAAGAGGUCAACAAACUCCUCAGAAGUUGCAUCAAUCUCUAAUUACCAAUCUAUGUAAGAUUAAUUAAGAUUAAUGCUUGACUGGUGUUGUUUUUACCAUUUUUCUAGAGAUAAUGUCUCAGGGCAAUUUUUGUAUGUA